UACGUAGGUGGCAAGCGUUGUCCGGAGUUAUUGGGCGUAAAGCGCGCGCAGGCGGUGCGGUAAGUCUCUGGUGAAAGCGCUCGGCUUAACUGGGCGAGGGCCGGGGAGACUGCCACGCUGGAGGGGAGCAGAGGCGAGUGGAAUUCCGGGUGUAGUGGUGAAAUGCGUAGAGAUCCGGAGGAACACCAGUGGCGAAGGCGGCUCGCUGGGCUCUACCUGACGCUGAGGCGUGAAAGCGUGGGGAGCGAACCGG
rnacentral:rRNA from 1 species